rnacentral:rRNA from 1 species
AGCGAACGCUGGCGGCAGGCCUAACACAUGCAAGUCGAACGAACUCUUCAGAGUUAGUGGCGGACGGGUGAGUAACACGUGGGAACGUGCCUUUAGGUUCGGAAUAACUCAGGGAAACUUGUGCUAAUACCGAAUGUGCCCUUCGGGGGAAAGAUUUAUCGCCUUUAGAGCGGCCCGCGUCUGAUUAGCUUGUUGGUGGGGUAAUGGCCCACCAAGGCGACGAUCAGUAGCUGGUCUGAGAGGAUGACCAGCCACAUUGGGACUGAGACACGGCCCAAACUCCUACGGGAGGCAGCAGUGGGGAAUCUUGCGCAAUGGGCGAAAGCCUGACGCAGCCAUGCCGCGUGGAUGAUGAAGGUCUUAGGAUUGUAAAAUCCUCUCACCGGUGAAGAUAAUGACUGUAGCCGGAGAAGAAGCCCCGGCUAACUUCGUGCCAGCCGCCGCGGUAA